UUUCUCUCUGUCUCUAUACAAUAUUAAAUAAAACAUUAAAAAAUUUAUUAAGAAAAUAAAUAAAGCAUUAACCCUCUCUGGUUUGGGAGGUAGUGAAGUGGGUAGAGCACUGGAUUCUAAAGCAUGAGGUCUUGAGUUAAAUCCCCAGCAGCACAUGCACUAGAGUGAUGUCUCAUUCUUUUUCUCCUCCUAUCUUUCUCAUUAAUAAAUAAAAUAUUUAGGGGGGGAAGGCAUUAACUCCCUCAAAAAGCAAAAUCCCCUUCAAAAA